AGUGCUGGGAUUAAAGGUAUGCAUCUUCACAUCUGGCUCAAGCAUAUUUAAAUCUGUUUACUUUGAUAUGAAAAUCAAGCAACUACACCCUCAAAGAUUAGUGGAUCCAAUUGAAUUCCUUGAUUGAGCUUGCCGUGCUACAACAUGAGACUUAAAUAUCUUAAUUUUAACAUAGUUUCUAUCUUUUUAAUUGCUAAAUUAAGUUCUUGGUUGGUUGGUUGGUUGGUUGGUUGGUUGGUUGGUUUGACAUAGGGUCAUUCUACAUAUUCCUAGAUGUCCUGAAAUUCAUUAUGUAGACCAGGUUGGCCUAGAACUCACAAAGUUCCACCUGCCUCUGCUUCCUAAGUAUCUAAAUUCUGGGUAUUUUGAUAGCAGCAAAAGAAAUGUUACAUGCCACAAAUAAAAGAAUCUCCAUUCAUUUUCACAGCAGAAAUUGUAUAACUCAGGAAAGAAUGGAAUGGGCUUUCAAAGUGCUGGGAAAGUAGCUAAUCAAGACAGCAUGUUUAGCAAAACUCUCCUUUAUUUCUGAAGGAGAAGAAAAGACUCCCAGAUAAAUAAAGGCCAAAGGAGCUCACGAGCAGCAGACCUGCUGUAGAAGUCCUGAUGCGCAUUGUUCAGAGAGUGCACAAAUUACUGGCAUGUCCUCAGACUCUCCAGCCUCAGACUCACAGCAGCUGGGAUUACAUGGUUACACUGCCUGGUGGGUUUCCCUAAUAGACUUGAAUGUCUGGAAAGUUGUGUGGUGACUCACCUCUGUAAUCCUAGUCUCAGGGAAUUGAGGUAGCAGACUUGCCAGUAGAGUAAGGCCUGCACAGACUACACAGUGAAACACAAAUGAAAGUACAAACUUCAUUGGUAAGAUAAAGAUAUAGUCGAGCUCAUAAUGCUCUAAAAUAUAAUGGCAGAAUAAGAGUCACUUUUAACUCUAGCAUAAAACUUAAAAGACAAAAUACUAAAAAUUUAACAAUAUAUUAUCAGUGACACCUCCCCUAGAUAUACCAAUACAGAGUUAUCCAUUGGGACAUGGACACCUGAAACCAGUGAGAACCCAUGGAAGAAAAGUGACUCUCAUUCUUCCAGUCUGGGCCAGAGCCCUGAGCAGAACUUGGGUUCAAACCCUGCAGCCAGCCCCACAACACCCAGAAGAAGCUCUACUCCCAAGUGCUCUAACACUCACAGGGUCAUAGGAUCAGAGGUGAGGAAGACACAACAUCUGCCCCAACACCGGGAAUAAUUGGAACCAGUGGGACCCAGGCACACAGGAACUCCACCAGACCCGUGGAAUGGGUUCCUUCCAGUCUGGAAGACCUUGGACUCAAACUCCAUACCAAGUCUCACAACAUCCAGAGGGAGUUCCACUCCCAGGAGCUCUAACACACCCAGGAUCAUAGGAUCAGAGGUGUCCUGAGCAGACCUUGGGCACUAGUCCCACAACACCCAGAAGAAGCUCAACUCCCAAGCACUCUAACACAUCAAGGACAACAGGAUCACGGGAUCACAGGAGCCUGAUCACACCAGGAUCUCAGUGUCUCAGAGGCAGCUUGACUCCCAGGGGCUCUGACACACCCAGGAUCACAGAAUCACAGGAUCACAGGAUCACAGGAUCCCAGAUUCACAAGACCAUGGAGACAACUGAACUCUGAGGACUUCUGACACAACCAGGAUCACAAGAAAGACAGGCUCCAAGGUUAGUUGGGAUCAUUAGGACCCAAUUCUUCCAUCAUAGCAAGUCCUGGAUACACCAUCACACUGGAAAAGCGAGAAUUGGAUCUAAAAUCACUUCUCAUGAUUGUGAUAGAAAACUUUAAGGACACAAAUAACUCUCUUAAAGAAAUGCAGGAGAACACAGGUAAACAACUAGAAGCCCUGAAAGAGGAACAAAAAAAUCCCUUAAAGAAUUACAGGAAAACAUAAUCAAAUAGGAGAAGGAAAUAAACAAAACCAUCCAAGAUCUAAAAAUGGAAAU
rnacentral:lncRNA from 1 species